GUCACCUGCGUAUACCAAGCCCAGCAUCCGUGUGUUCUGGGAGGCUCAGAUAGACGUGUUCCACCACUGAAUCAGUCCGCAGCUGCUUGGCCGCUUGAGCCGACUGGAAAAGUUCAAAGGCAAUGCUUAUACACGUCUUCUGCAGUGGGGUUCCCAUCACUGAAGUUUUAGGCAACUUCCAUCAGGCAUUGCUGUACUGGGACUGGGCUAGGACAGCAGGCAGCAAGCCAGCUUUCUGGGAUAGAAGCAUUC